rnacentral:tRNA from 1 species
UGGAAAGGUGCCCGAGCGGUUUAAGGGUUCUGUCUUGAAAACAGAUGAAGUCAUGCUUCCGUGGGUUCGAAUCCCACCUUUUCCGA